rnacentral:rRNA from 1 species
CAAUAGCGUAUAUUAAAGUUGUUGUAGUUAAAAAGCUCGUAGUUGGAUUUCGGGGCAGCCUGGCUGGUCCGCCGCAAGGCGAGUACUGGUCAGCCGCCCUUCCUCUCGAAAGCCCCGACUGCUCUUUAUUGCAGUGGUCGGGUAGUUCGGGACGUUUACUUUGAAAAAAUUAGAGUGUUCAAGGCAGGCCUACGCCUGAAUACAUUAGCAUGGAAUAAUGGAAGAGGACCUCGGUCCUAUUUUGUUGGUUUCCAGGACCGAAGUAAUGAUUAAGAGGGACAGUUGGGGGCAUUCGUAUUUAAUUGUCAGAGGUGAAAUUCUCGGAUUUAUGAAAGACGAACAACUGCGAAAGCAUUUGCCAAGGAUGUUUUCAUUAA